rnacentral:rRNA from 1 species
GAUGAACGCUGGCGGCGUGCCUAAUACAUGCAAGUCGAGCGAACGGACGAGAAGCUUGCUUCUCUGAUGUUAGCGGCGGACGGGUGAGUAACACGUGGAUAACCUACCUAUAAGACUGGGAUAACUUCGGGAAACCGGAGCUAAUACCGGAUAAUAUUUUGAACCGCAUGGUUCAAAAGUGAAAGACGGUCUUGCUGUCACUUAUAGAUGGAUCCGCGCUGCAUUAGCUAGUUGGUAAGGUAACGGCUUACCAAGGCAACGAUGCAUAGCCGACCUGAGAGGGUGAUCGGCCACACUGGAACUGAGACACGGUCCAGACUCCUACGGGAGGCAGCAGUAGGGAAUCUUCCGCAAUGGGCGAAAGCCUGACGGAGCAACGCCGCGUGAGUGAUGAAGGUCUUCGGAUCGUAAAACUCUGUUAUUAGGGAAGAACAUAUGUGUAAGUAACUGUGCACAUCUUGACGGUACCUAAUCAGAAAGCCACGGCUAACUACGUGCCAACAGCCGCGGUAAUACGUAGGUGGCAAGCGUUAUCCGGAAUUAUUGGGCGUAAAGCGCGCGUAGGCGGUUUUUUAAGUCUGAUGUGAAAGCCCACGGCUCAACCGUGGAGGGUCAUUGGAAACUGGAAAACUUGAGUGCAGAAGAGGAAAGUGGAAUUCCAUGUGUAGCGGUGAAAUGCGCAGAGAUAUGGAGGAACACCAGUGGCGAAGGCGACUUUCUGGUCUGUAACUGACGCUGAUGUGCGAAAGCGUGGGGAUCAAACAGGAUUAGAUACCCUGGUAGUCCACGCCGUAAACGAUGAGUGCUAAGUGUUAGGGGGUUUCCGCCCCUUAGUGCUGCAGCUAACGCAUUAAGCACUCCGCCUGGGGAGUACGACCGCAAGGUUGAAACUCAAAGGAAUUGACGGGGACCCGCACAAGCGGUGGAGCAUGUGGUUUAAUUCGAAGCAACGCGAAGAACCUUACCAAAUCUUGACAUCCUUUGACAACUCUAGAGAUAGAGCCUUCCCCUUCGGGGGACAAAGUGACAGGUGGUGCAUGGUUGUCGUCAGCUCGUGUCGUGAGAUGUUGGGUUAAGUCCCGCAACGAGCGCAACCCUUAAGCUUAGUUGCCAUCAUUAAGUUGGGCACUCUAAGUUGACUGCCGGUGACAAACCGGAGGAAGGUGGGGAUGACGUCAAAUCAUCAUGCCCCUUAUGAUUUGGGCUACACACGUGCUACAAUGGACAAUACAAAGGGCAGCGAAACCGCGAGGUCAAGCAAAUCCCAUAAAGUUGUUCUCAGUUCGGAUUGUAGUCUGCAACUCGACUACAUGAAGCUGGAAUCGCUAGUAAUCGUAGAUCAGCAUGCUACGGUGAAUACGUUCCCGGGUCU